GAUGAACGCUGGCGGCGUGCUUAACACAUGCAAGUCGAACGGGGAACAAAUUAUUGAAGCUUCGGCAGAUCUAGCUUGUUCCUAGUGGCGGACGGGUGAGUAACGCGUGGGUAACCUGCCUCACACUGGGGGAUAACAGUCAGAAAUGGCUGCUAAUACCGCAUAAGCGCAUAGUACCGCAUGGUACAGUGUGAAAAACUCCGGUGGUGUGAGAUGGACCCGCGUUGGAUUAGCUAGUUGGCAGGGCAGCGGCCUACCAAGGCGACGAUCCAUAGCCGGCCUGAGAGGGUGAACGGCCACAUUGGGACUGAGACACGGCCCAGACUCCUACGGGAGGCAGCAGUGGGGAAUAUUGCACAAUGGGGGAAACCCUGAUGCAGCGACGCCGCGUGAAGGAAGAAGUAUCUCGGUAUGUAAACUUCUAUCAGCAGGGAAGAAAAUGACGGUACCKAC
rnacentral:rRNA from 1 species